rnacentral:rRNA from 1 species
AGUGAACGCUGGCGGUAGGCCUAACACAUGCAAGUCGAACGGCAGCACAGUAAGAGCUUGCUCUUACGGGUGGCGAGUGGCGGACGGGUGAGGAAUACAUCGGAAUCUACUUUUUCGUGGGGGAUAACGUAGGGAAACUUACGCUAAUACCGCAUACGACCUACGGGUGAAAGCAGGGGAUCUUCGGACCUUGCGCGAUUGAAUGAGCCGAUGUCGGAUUAGCUAGUUGGCGGGGUAAAGGCCCACCAAGGCGACGAUCCGUAGCUGGUCUGGGAGGAUGAUCAGCCACACUGGAACUGAGACACGGUCCAGACUCCUACGGGAGGCAGCAGUGGGGAAUAUUGGACAAUGGGCGCAAGCCUGAUCUAGCCAUACCGCGUGGGUGAAGAAGGCCUUCGGGUUGUAAAGCCCUUUUGUUGGGAAAGAAAAGCAGCAGGUUAAUACCCCGCUGUUCUGACGGUACCCAAAGAAUAAGCACCGGCUAACUUCGUG